AUUAACAAUGCACAAAGAGAUAUUGCGGACUGUUUGCGAAGUGUCCUACCGCUGGAAUCGCCAGAGAACGUUCUUGAACCAGAUGCUAUAUCCCUUGAUUUCCAAGCAAGUAGCGAGGUAAACGUACGAAGCUUAUUUGACGACUUCAAGGAAGAUAUUGAAUUUCACUUUAGUCGUGAAUGGCUUGAAAAUAUCUUGGCUCCUCACCUUGCACGUCUCGACAACUCUGUCGGAGCGAAUGUGAGUGCAUUAAUUGCAACAACAUUCAAUGAUUAUGAUUCUUAUCUACGA